GAUUAAUCAAUCCUACAUCCACGAGGCCACGCCCAGAUGAAAAGCAAUUCACUAAGUUGAGAUGUUACAACUUAUGAAUUUACCAAAUUUAAGACUCUCACUUACAGUUUAUCACUAUAUAAUUUACUCAACCUUAGACUGAAUCUGCUUCUCUUGAAUAAUUGCUAACCCUCUUGAUCCACGAUCCUCAAGCGACUUCACAAAGUGAUCAAUAGCAAUUCUUCAAUGUCCAGUGAUCCAAGAUCUACAUAAACUCUCCACAGAGAUGAAAAAAAGAUAAGAAAACAAAUCAGCACAACUUUAUGCGCCAAACCCGGAUUCUAUAGAGAGGAGGCCGAAUUUUAGCUUUCUGCUUUAUGCUCUAUGUUGUGCACCUUCAAUUGUGAAAUACCUCUCUUUAUAUAGGUACUAGAGUUUCACAAAAAUAGCAAGUCUUAAAAGACUUAGAUUAUUUACAAAUAAGAAUUUUUUUCCCUUUAUAAUUCUUAUGAAUCUGAAUAUGAAUAAAUCUGAUCUUCUUAACUUGUCUCUCAA
rnacentral:lncRNA from 1 species